CGUGCAAUUCGAUAUAAUUUGAAAAUUAAAACUUAUUAAGAAAUUUUAAUUUUAAAAUUUAAUUUUAAAAAAUAAUUUUAUUUUAUUAUUAUUUAUGAAAAAAUUUUUAAAUUGAUAGUAAAUUAGUAUUGUAAAAGAAGGUUUAAAUUUAUAAAAAAGAAAAAUUAGUAUUUUGUACCUUGUGUAUCAGGGUUAAUUAAUUAAUAAUUAUGAAUUUAAUUUUCUCGAAUUUUAAAGUGUAAUUUUUAUUUUAAAUUUAAUGUUGAAUAAUUAUAUUAAAAAUAAAAAUUGAAAUGAAACAUUAAUCGAUUUUUAAGAUAUCUAGUUUUUUCUGAAAAAAAUUAAAUUUUUUAGGUUUUAAUUAUAAUUUAAUGUUUAUUUAUUUUAUAAAUUUAAUCUGUUUAUAUUUAAAGGGAUAAGCUUUUAAAUAUAUUUUUAUAAAUUUAUUUUAAAUUAUAUAAAUUAGUAGGUUUAAAAUUAUUAAUCAAUAAAAAAAUUUAAUAAUUUAUUUAUUAAAAAAUAUUAUUUUUAUAAAUUUUAAUUAUUUAAGAAAAAAUAUUUAUUAAUAUAUUAUAUUUAGAUAUAAUGAUUAAAUUAGUAUAAAAAAAUUUAUAAUUAAAAUUAAUUUAUAGAUUUAAAAAAGGAAUUCGGCAAAUGUUUUAUUCGCCUGUUUAUCAAAAACAUGUCUUUUUGAAUAUAAUUUAAAGUCUAACCUGCCCAAUGAUUUAAUUUAAUGGCCGCGGUAUUUUAACUGUGCAAAGGUAGCAUAAUCAUUAGUUUUUUAAUUAAAAGCUGGAAUGAAUGGUUGAACGAAAUAAAAACUGUCUAAUUUAAAUAAUUAAAAUUUUAUUUUUAAGUUAAAAAGCUUAAAUAAAUUUAAAAGACGAGAAGACCCUAUAGAGCUUUAUAUAAAUUAUAUUAAUUGAUUAUUUAUAUUUAAAUAAUAAUUAAUUUAAUUUAUAUUUUAUUGGGGUUAUAUUAAGAUAUAUAAAAUUCUUAAUUAUUUAAAACAUUAAUUUAUGAUUAUUUGAUCCAAUUUUAUUGAUUAAAAGUUUAAGUUACCUUAGGGAUAACAGCGUAAUUUUUUUAAAGAGUUCUAAUCGAAAAAAAAGAUUGCGACCUCGAUGUUGGAUUAAAGAAAAUUUUAGGUGUAGUAGUUUAAAAUUUAAGUCUGUUCGACUUUUAAAUCUUUACAUGAUCUGAGUUCAAACCGGUGUAAGCCAGGUUGGUUUCUAUCUUUAAAUAGUUAUAAUAUUUUAGUACGAAAGGACCAAAUAUUAGAUUUUAAAAAUUUUUAUUAAGAAUAUAAUUAUUGUUUUGGCAGAAUAGUGCAAUAAAUUUAGAAUUUAUAUAUAUAAUUAAUUUAUAAA
rnacentral:rRNA from 1 species